CGGGACGGGUGAGUAAUGUCUGGGAAACUGCCUGAGUGGAGGGGAUAACUACUGGAAACGGUAGCUAAUACCGCAUAACGUCGCAAGACCAAAGAGGGGGACCUUCGGGCCUCUUGCCAUCGGAUGUGCCCAGAUGGGAUUAGCUAGUAGGUGGGGUAACGGCUCACCUAGGCGACGAUCCCUAGCUGGUCUGAGAGGAUGACCAGCCACACUGGAACUGAGACACGGUCCAG
rnacentral:rRNA from 1 species